rnacentral:rRNA from 1 species
AUACGAGGGGCCCGAGCGUUAGGCGGAAUCACUGGGCUUAAAGCGUGCGCAGGCGGAUCGGCAAGCGUCUUGUGAAAACCCACGGCUCAACCGUGGAACUGCAGGGCGAACUGCCGGUCUUGAGGCAGGUAGGGGUCAACGGAACUGUCGGUGGAGCGGUGAAAUGUGUAGAUAUCGACAGGAACGCCGGUGGCGAAGGCGGUUGACUGGGCCUGUCCUGACGCUCAGGCACGAAAGCGUGGGGAGCAAACAGGAUUAGAAACCCCAGUAGUCC